GAGUUUGAUCCUGGCUCAGAAUGAACGCUGGCGGCGUGCUUUACACAUGCAAGUCGAGCGAGGCGUGUAGCAAUACACAGUCGAGCGGCGAACGGGUGAGUAACGCGUGGAUAACCUGCCCAGAGGUGGGGGAUAACCCGGGGAAACUCGGGCUAAUACCGCAUGAUACCGAAAGGUCAAAGGCGGCUCGCAAGGGCUGUCGCCAUUGGAGGGGUCCGCGUCCGAUUAGCUAGUUGGUAGGGUAAUGGCCUACCAAGGCAACGAUCUGUAGCCGGCCUGAGAGGGCGGUCGGCCACACUGACACUGACAUACGGGUCAGACUCCUACGGGAGGCAGCAGUCGGGAAUUUUGGGCAAUGGGCGAAAGCCUGACCCAGCAACGCCGCGUGAGGGAUGAAGGCCUUCGGGUCGUAAACCUCUUUCGGCAGGGACGAAGCGAUCAGUGACGGUACCUGCAGAAGAAGCCCCGGCUAACUACGUGCCAGCAGCCGCGGCAAGACGUAGGGGGCGAGCGUUGUCCGGAUUUAUUGGGCGUAAAGCGUGCGCAGGCGGUUUUGUAAGUUUGUCGUGAAAUCCCCGGGCUCAACCUGGGAAUGGCGAUGAAGACUGCAAGGCUAGAGUUUGGCAGAGGGGGGUAGAAUUCCACGUGUAGCAGUGAAAUGCGUAGAGAUGUGGAGGAACACCGAUGGCGAAGGCAGCCCCCUGGGUCAAAACUGACGCUCAUGCACGGAAGCGUGGGGAGCAAACAGGAUUAGAUACCCUGGUAGUCCACGCCCUAAACGAUGUCUACUAGUUGUCGGGUCUUAAUUGACUUGGUAACGCAGCUAACGCGUGAAGUAGACCGCCUGGGGAGUACGGUCGCAAGAUUAAAACUCAAAGGAAUUGACGGGGACCCGCACAAGCGGUGGAUGAUGUGGAUUAAUUCGAUGCAACGCGAAAAACCUUACCUACCCUUGACAUGGAAGGAAUCCCCGAGAGAUUGGGGAGUGCCCGAAAGGGAACCUUUGCACAGGUGCUGCAUGGCUGUCGUCAGCUCGUGUCGUGAGAUGUUGGGUUAAGUCCCGCAACGAGCGCAACCCUUGUCAUUAGUUGCUACGAAAGGGCACUCUAAUGAGACUGCCGGUGACAAACCGGAGGAAGGUGGGGAUGACGUCAAGUCCUCAUGGCCCUUAUGGGUAGGGCUUCACACGUCAUACAAUGGUACAUACAGAGGGCCGCCAACCCGCGAGGGGGAGCUAAUCCCAGAAAGUGUAUCGUAGUCCGGAUUGUAGUCUGCAACUCGACUGCAUGAAGUUGGAAUCGCUAGUAAUCGCGGAUCAGCAUGUCGCGGUGAUACGUUCCCGGGUCUUGUACACAC
rnacentral:rRNA from 1 species